CAGAUUCACCGCCGACCAACCAGAAGGGAAGAUUUACCUGCAGGGACGGGAGAAGCGAGAGGCCAAUUGGAGACGAGAGGCGGGGCUAUUCGGCGAACCCCGAGACGCCAGAGGAUAUCCAGUACCACAACCUGACCUGAGCUUCCCAGUGGAGCACAGAGAUAUGGCAUGGAUGGAGGGAUUGGAGAUUCUACAGAAAUGAAACAAUUAUUUGACUUCAGGAUAGGCCGAGUGUCCACUGGAUACGAGGUUUUGAGAUCAAGAGAGAAAAAGGAAGAAACUUCUUCAAAGCAGAAAAAACUGGGAAUUCUGCAUCCAUGCAUUGUUCCUUUAGAGAGGAAUGCUAUCCAUGAUUCUAUUUUAUAAAAAUGACUAAAAAUGUUUUAGAAAAUCAGUGUGGAAAUCCCCAGAUUUAGCAAAACUUAUAGAUCAUCAUAACUAGAGAGAAAGAACCCAGAGAACUCCAACCUGGAAGAACUUGUCAAUGUUGGACUUACUGAGCACCAGAGGAUUCAUUCAGAAGAAGAAACUCAAAAGUACCCUGGAUGUGAGAAAAGCUUCCUUUGUUGAGACCUCUAUAGACAGACACCAGUACCUCCACAUGGAAGAGAUCCUAUGAACACACUACAUUUUAUGGAAAGCAAUUUGACAGUGUUUUUUAAGCAUCUUAAAAUGUUUCUCCUCUUUGAUCAAGCAGUUCCACGUAUGAGAAACUAUUCUAAGGGGAGAAACCAAAGGAAAAAAUAGCUGCAACGAAAAUAAAAGUCUUCACAAACACACAUGAGCAACCUUCAAAGGUUCCCCACUUCCCUGAUAAUAAAGUCCACAUUCCUCAACAAGGCUGUAAAGAUAUUCAUGAUGCAGGUCCCAAACUGUGGCAACAAGCACUGCAGUUGACUCCUGCCCCACCCCAAGUCAGAAUCACUCUCUUCUGGGUCCCCAGAUGCUUUGUUUAGACCUCAUUUUUAAUAACACAGUUCACCUUAGCUAGGAGGGAUACUUGCAAUCAUACUAUGUAUGACCUGUAUCCUCCUCUGCCCUUCCAAUGUACAUACAUCAAUGUCACACAUAUGACUGGAGUUUUAUAGGGUAGAAAACAUCUAUUAUUCAUAUCUUCAUCCUUUAAACUGCCCUGUACAUACCAGACAUGAAUAUGGCACUGAUUCAAGAAAGAUGUAAAAUAGCUCUUGGAAACUAAGAACAUGAA